GGUGAAAUGCAGAAGAAGAAGAACUACUAAUUUACGUAAAUCAAAAUCCAAAA
rnacentral:sRNA from 1 species